ACUCCUGCGGGAGGCAGCAGUGGGGAAUAUUGGACAAUGGGCGCAAGCCUGAUCCAGCCAUGCCGCGUGAGUGAUGAAGGCCCUAGGGUUGUAAAGCUCUUUCACCGGUGAAGAUAAUGACGGUAACCGGAGAAGAAGCCCCGGCUAACUUCGUGCCAGCAGCCGCGGUAAUACGAAGGGGGCUAGCGUUGUUCGGAUUUACUGGGCGUAAAGCGCACGUAGGCGGACUAUUAAGUCAGGGGUGAAAUCCCGGGGCUCAACCCCGGAACUGCCUUUGAUACUGGUAGUCUUGAGUUCGAGAGAGGUGAGUGGAAUUCCGAGUGUAGAGGCGAAAUUCGUAGAUAUUCGGAGGAACACCAGUGGCGAAGGCGGCUCACUGGCUCGAUACUGACGCUGAGGUGCGAAAGCGUGGGGAGCAAACAGGAUUAGAAACCCCGGUAGUCCCA
rnacentral:rRNA from 1 species